ACCCAUUCUAUGAGCUCAGAAAAAUGAUGUCAUCUCUUGUAUCCAUUUUAUUAUCUCCCAAUUUCUAUUCUCAUUCUUUCAUAUCCAGAGGUACAUGUCAUCUGAAGCCUUGGGCCCUCCGCAUCAUAAAUCAGGAACAAAUCCAGGAGGGAGAAAGAGCAAAGGAGACAAGGACCUCGUUAAGAACACUAAGUUUCUGUGGAGAAAAAAGUGUUGGCUUGAACUCCUCGUGCUUUCUUAUGUAAUAAAAAAGUCAAGCAAAGGGCAUGUCUUGGUUCGGCUGGGACUCGGCAGACUGCCUGCGUUAUUACAGUGCUGGGAGUCUGAGGCUCUCUGCUCCUUGAGGAUUAUCAUGUGACUCCUCCCCAAGUGAACAAAAAUGGAGUCCUUUUCUACAUUAUUUUUUGUAACUGGCUCUUUUUCCUUUUUACUGCCUCUUGGAACACUUGGAACACUUUGUAUGUGAGUACCUGUAGCUCUACCUCAUUCUUUUUGAUGGUUUGUUUCCA
rnacentral:lncRNA from 1 species